GAUGAACGCUGGCGGCGUGCCUAAUACAUGCAAGUCGAGCGAACGGACGAGAAGCUUGCUUCUCUGAUGUUAGCGGCGGACGGGGGAGUAACACGUGGAUAACCUACCUAUAAGACUGGGAUAACUUCGGGAAACCGGAGCUAAUACCGGAUAAUAUUUUGAACCGCAUGGUUCAAAAGUGAAAGACGGUCUUGCUGUCACUUAUAGAUGGAUCCGCGCUGCAUUAGCUAGUUGGUAAGGUAACGGCUUACCAAGGCAACGAUGCAUAGCCGACCUGAGAGGGUGAUCGGCCACACUGGAACUGAGACACGCUCCAGACUCCUACGGGAGGCAGCAGUAGGGAAUCUUCCGCAAUGGGCGAAAGCCUGACGGAGCAACGCCGCGUGAGUGAUGAAGGUCUUCGGAUCGUAAAACUCUGUUAUUAGGGAAGAACAUAUGUGUAAGUAACUGUGCACAUCUUGACGGUACCUAAUCAGAAAGCGACGGCUAACUACGUG
rnacentral:rRNA from 1 species